AUGAAAGUUGAGCUCCUCGGUAGCCUUGACUCCGGGAACAAGCUCUACUCCAGGGUGGUGCGCGCCGGUGAGACGUUUCUCAUCCCGCGCGGGCUCAUGCACUUCCAGUUCAACAUCGGUAAGACGGAGGCCUCGAUGGUCGUCUCCUUCAACAGCCAGAACCCCGGCAUCGUCUUCGUGCCACUCACGCUCUUCGGUUCCAACCUGCCCACCCCCAUACCGGUGCUCACCAAGGCUCUCCGGGUGGAGGCUGGGGUCGUGGAACUUCUCAAAUCCAAGUUCGUUGGUGGGUCUUAA
rnacentral:rRNA from 1 species